rnacentral:rRNA from 1 species
UACGAAGGGGGCUAGCGUUGCUCGGAAUUACUGGGCGUAAAGCGCACGUAGGCGGCUUUCUAAGUCGGGGGUGAAAUCCUGGAGCUCAACUCCAGAACUGCCUUCGAUACUGGAAAGCUCGAGUCCGGGAGAGGUGAGUGGAACUGCGAGUGUAGAGGUGAAAUUCGUAGAUAUUCGCAAGAACACCAGUGGCGAAGGCGGCUCACUGGCCCGGUACUGACGCUGAGGCACGAAAGCUAGGGGAGCAAACAGG